UUUAAUCUCAACUCGGGUAGGACUACCCGC
rnacentral:rRNA from 2 species